rnacentral:lncRNA from 1 species
CCUGGCACUGGAGCGAGGUGUAACUGACAAUGCCAGGAGCUUGGCCCACGCCAGGAGAGCAGAGCACCAUCCACUCCAAACGGAGUGGCUGGGACAGCUGGGUGACUACAUGCUGGGCCAUCCCAUAGGCUGAGAGAGAGGAGCUGCUACCUGAAGCCCGAGUCCUGUUGCCUUGGAACCUCUGAGGAACCCACUCACGCUGCCCAAAACCACCUUAUGAUCCAGCAACUGAAGGCUCAGGCCCUGCCUAGCAGGGGCCCUAAGAUGCUACUCCACACAGCACUAGGGCCAUCGAUUCUUCCAUACAUUUAGUGCUCAUGCAACUCGGAUUUUAAAAUAUUUU